rnacentral:rRNA from 1 species
UACAGGGGGUGCAAACGUUGCUCGGAAUCAUUGGGCGUAAAGCGCACGUAGGCGGUUCGUUAUGUCGGAUGUGAAAGCCCUUGGCUUAACCGAGGAAGUGCAUCCGAAACUGGCGAGCUAGAGUACUAAAGAGGAUCGCGGAAUUCCCGGUGUAGAGGUGAAAUUCGUAGAUAUCGGGAGGAACACCGGUGGCGAAGGCGGAUCUCUGGGCCUUACCUGACGCUCAGGCGCGAAAGCUAGGGGAGCGAACAGG